GACGGGGGAUGCAAGUGUUAUCCGGAAUCACUGGGCGUAAAGCGUCUGCAGGUGGUUUCCUAAGUCCACUGUUAAACCUUGAGGCUCAACCUCAAAUCUGCAUUGGAAACUAGGAGACUUGAGUAUAGUAGGGGUAGAGGGAAUUUCCAGUGGAGCGGUGAAAUGCGUAGAUAUUGGAAAGAACACCGAUGGCGAAGGCACUCUACUGGGCUAUUACUGACACUCAGAGACGAAAGCUAGGGGAGCAAAUGGG
rnacentral:rRNA from 3 species